rnacentral:rRNA from 1 species
UACGGAGGGUGCGAGCGUUGUCCGGAAUCACUGGGCGUAAAGGGCGCGUAGGUGGCCUGUGGAAGUCUGCGGUGAAAGCCCGGCGCUCAACGCCGGGUCGGCCGUGGAUACUCUCGGGCUUGAGCUUACUAGAGGCAGAUGGAAUUCCGGGUGUAGCGGUGGAAUGCGUAGAGAUCCGGAAGAACACCGGUGGCGAAGGCGGUCUGCUGGGGUAAUGCUGACACUGAUGCGCGACAGCGGUGGGGAGC